rnacentral:rRNA from 1 species
AGAGACAGCAGUCGCCGCGGUAACACGAAAGGUCCAAGCGUUACUCGGAAUUACUGGGCGUAAAGCGCGCGUAGGCGGUCUUGUAUGUCGAUUGUGAAAGCCCCGGGCUUAACCUGGGAACUGCGCUUGUGACUGGCAAGCUAGAGUAUGGCAGAGGGGGGUGGAAUUCCGCGUGUAGCAGUGAAAUGCGUAGAUAUGCGGAGGAACACCGAUGGCGAAGGCAGCCCCCUGGGCCAAUACUGACGCUCAUGCACGAAAGCGUGGGGAGCAAACAGGAUUAGAGACCCCUGUAGUCCCUGUCUCUUAUAC